UCGAGAAUAUUCGACAAUGGGCGAAAGCCUGAUCGAGCGACGCCGCGUGCAGGAUGAAGGCCUUCGGGUCGUAAACUGCGGUAGUAUGGUGACAAUGCAAAUGAGUGCCAUACGGAAAGAGGUUGGUAACUACGUGCCAGCACCCGCGGUAAAACGUAGACCUCAAGCGUUAUCCGGAUUUAUUGGGCGUAAAGCGCGUGUAGGAGGUUCGGCGCGUCUUCUCUUAAAGCCCACGGCCUAACCGUGGAAGUGGAGGAGAUACGGUCGGACUAGAGGGGGUUAGAGGUGCAUGGAACGCACGGUGUAGGGGUGAAAUCCGUUGAUAUCGUGCGGAACACCAAAGGCGAAGGCAGUGCACUGGGACCUUCCUGACUCUGAGACGCGAAAGCGUGGGGAGCAA
rnacentral:rRNA from 1 species